rfam:Phycomyces blakesleeanus NRRL 1555(-) unplaced genomic scaffold PHYBLscaffold_6, whole genome shotgun sequence.
GUCAGUUUGUCCGAGUGGUUAAGGAGUUAGACUUGAAAUCUAAUGGGCUUCGCCCGCACAGGUUCGAACCCUGUAGCUGACG